GAUAGUGUAGCGCAUAGACAGCGCGCCUGCUCUACAGGACGCCUGAGUUCGAUUCCCAGCACUAUCC